rnacentral:lncRNA from 1 species
CCAUACUUUAGUUUGAAAAUCCAUUAACGUUGAACAACUCUUUGAUUCUUAGGUUUCUUUACUAAUUUCAUGUGUUAUCUUCAAGUAAAAAUUUCAUUUCUUCUUUCAUUGCAUCUUUUCAUUUAUCAGAUUUAAAGCUAUUCAUGGCCUUUUCAUCGGAUGAAGGUUCUAAAUACUCCAAAGAUUUACCCGAGAUGAUGGUAAAGUCGGUCAAGUUAUUUAUUUCAUAUCUUGGAUUUAGUUUGACUUGCCUCCUUUCCCUAUCUCUAACCAAUUAAUAAUCUUGCGCACUUGUCUCAGCGAUGGGAACAUUUGAGCUUUCUACUUCAGUCUCAACCUCAACUUGAGGUGGAUCUACUUCACCUUCAUCCAUGUUAACAACAUUUUCAUCAGGUGGUCGAACACCAGUUUCAUUAUUCUUUUG